AGGAUGAACGCUGGCGGCGUGCUUAACACAUGCAAGUCGAACGAUGAAGGCUGGAGCUUGCUCUGGCUGGAUUAGUGGCGAACGGGUGAGUAACACGUGAGUAACCUGCCCCAGACUCUGGGAUAAGCGCUGGAAACGGCGUCUAAUACCGGAUACGAGCUUCCACCGCAUGGUGAGGAGCUGGAAAGAAUUUCGGUCUGGGAUGGACUCGCAGCCUAUCAGCUUGUUGGUGAGGUAAUGGCUCACCAAGGCGACGACGGGUAGCCGGCCUGAGAGGGUGACCGGCCACGACUGGGACCUGGAGACACGGCCCAGACUCCUACGGGAGGCGAGCGAGUGGGGAAUAUUGACACAAUGGGACGCAAGCAGUGAUGACAACAACGCCGCGUGAGGACGAAGGCC
rnacentral:rRNA from 1 species